CCCUGUAUCGAAAGUGACUAUAGCAUGACUGUUGCCAUAGUCAUUAAUAGUUCAGGAAUAGUGAUCUUGAAAGCUUUUCCCAUGUUUGUUGGAAUACCUGUUCCUGUCAAACCCUAUAUCUUUUUAAAA
ensembl:snoRNA SNORA71 Small nucleolar RNA SNORA71